UCCCUCUCUCCUCCUUCCCUCCCUCCCUACUCCUCCCCCACUCUCCCUUCCUCCCACCCUGAGAUGGCACUUGUGUGCGUGUAGUGGUUCUUACGGUUACAUAUCUUGCUAAUCUGCAGGGCAAAGGGAAUAAUAUGGAACUGAUUUAUCCAUUUUGUUUACAGGAAGGGUGUCAAGGGAAUGAAUUUUUCUGAGAACAACAACUGUGUAGUGUCUUCAAGGGAAUGGGUUUCAUGAGUAAAAAGGCAGCCUUGGAAUAAAUAGGCAUACACUGCAGCUGAUCAGGAGAUGAGGGCCCAAGAGCAGACUACAAAUUUACGUUAUCUGAUGAUCAACCUGCUUGUUAUAGAUAACACCUGCAAAAUAGCACUGCACAUAAGAAGCACCCAAUACAGCCUACAGAAUAAUUGGAAGGAAAUAUUGGAUAAUACUGUAGAGGAGAAAGAACCUACACCAAGUUGAACUUCUUUCUGCUUAUUUUAGAGAAAAAUUUUUGGUGCGAAGUGUCUUCAAAGUCAUCUUCUGGAGAUUCAUUUUGUCUGCCAGCAAACUAGCAUGGAUGCAGUACGGAUGCUGGAUUGACAUCAACACGAAAGACAAUUGCAAACAACUUAUUUGAUGGUGAAUAUAUAUCUAAAGUUAUCACCCCCUAGUUCCCUGUAAGCAGAUAUGAUAUUAUUAACUGGGACACACCAUUACUUUGCAAUUCUAGUUUUUCUUUUAUAGAAUCUGGAACAUGGAAAAGAGAAAGGGAUAAUGAAGAUGUGGAGUUAGGACACUAUCAGGCAGUGUCAACACUUAUUCCCAGCCACCUGAAGCCCUGUGUUUGUUUGGUAUUUUUUGUGCCUCAAGGUGAACUUAAUGCACAACACAGAUUUACAAAAACUGCAUAAAUUUUUUUCUUCUUUCAUACCAAUAAAGUCUUUGCUACUAAAUAUUAAGCUGCUGUCUGAGGUAAGUAUUUGAGAUUUCAGCAGACAUUAAGGGACCCAAAAGAAAGGGUAAACACCAUUCCAACAUUGCUGACUGAGCUGCUAGGUUUUCUGAAUUAUUUGAUUGGUCUUUCAACAUAUCCCUCAGGUAAAGUGGGGCUCAAGCAGCUCAGCAGGAAAGAUAGUGUAAUAAAUUCACCCUGGAUCAUUAAAACUUUGAAACACUGUAUUCUUUUACCCACUCUUGGGCAGGGAUUAGAAACCGUAUUAUCACUUCUGCAGAUGCCAAGCACUGAAGCUACUAUUCUAUUCAUACCUUGAAGCUUUCUAUCCCUAAGGAUACCUUCUUUACGGAAACUAUUGAUUUUUGCCAUCUAAUGUACAGUCACUCACAAAGUAUUCUAGUUUUCUGUUUGCCUGCAUGACUUUUAUGGAGGGAACCAUUGAUUUUCACCUUUUUUUUUGGGGGGGUAAUAGGUUUUUAAAAUAGUUCUUUUAAAACUUACUUUUCUUCUUCUUCUGUGUCAGUAGAAAUAAGAAAAGUGAAGAGUAUAAAAAGCAAAUACACUGUCAUGUAUAAAAAACCAACUACCUUUUCAUUGAAUCUGUGAUGCCUGUGGGAUGCAUAUAUACAGAGCUUAUAGGACUGUUAUGCACCUUAGCUGCAGUUCUCUGAAAAACAGCCUAUUUUGUGUGGAAAAUGUUCACUGUAAUGGAAAUUGAAGUUAAUAAUUUGCAAGCAUUCUUUUUAUUUUGUUAUCAGUGACAUUCAUGUGUGUUUUUCUUAGAUAGAGCUCAAAACUAUAAGCUUGUGUUCAGUUUUAAGUCAGGAAAAUCUCAACUUUUUUUUUUUCCUUUGGUUUUUGUUUUGUUUUGGUUUUUGUUUGUUUGUUUCUUUUUCCCCUCUCUAGAAUGUCUCUUUAGAACCAAUGACAGCACAUUUAUUCUAUUGACUUUAUUCUCUCUUGACAUAGAAUAGCACCAGCAUCUUCUGAAGAAAGCUCACGUGUACACGCUCUUUUGUUUACUAAUAUCAAUACGAGCUUUUAUGUAACGAUUUAUUAGUUACUUUCUUAGAUAUGAAUGCACAAGUUUGCAUGUAUGAUUUAGUCCAUACUAACUACUUUUGUUGAUAUAUACAUAAAUGAUAAUUUAGCAAUAUUUUAGUUAUGUGUGAAGAGAAAGGAAGAAAAGUCAAAUGUUUCAUAUUUCAGAAUUCAACCCCAAAGAUUACAUAGUCAGAUCAAGCUCCUUUUACACUUAUCUCUAACAGUUUUUAAAAGCAAAAAUGGAGGAUUUUUAUUUUUAUAUAUAUGUAUUUAUAGUAUUAAAAAUUGUUAUUUGUAUAUUGUAAAUCUAUCCCUGUCUAGUCCAAAAUACUAUAUUAAACUUUAAAAGGAGUAAAAUGUCACCAUGAAGUAACUGUAUUUUUUUAGAAGAGUGCAAUUUUA